UACGAAGGGUGCAAGCGUUACUCGGAAUUACUGGGCGUAAAGCGUGCGCAGGCGGUUAUGUAAGACAGUUGUGAAAUCCCCGGGCUCAACCUGGGAACUGCAUCUGUGACUGCAUAGCUAGAGUACGGUAGAGGGGAUGGAAUUCCGCGUGUAGCAGUGAAAUGCGUAGAUAUGCGGAGGAACACCGAUGGCGAAGGCAAUCCCCUGGACCUGUACUGACGCUCAUGCACGAAAGCGUGGGGAGCAAACAGG
rnacentral:rRNA from 1 species